AACAUCGCGCACCUGCGGGAACCUGCGGAAGGAUCAUUACAGAGUUGCAAAACUCCCUAAACCAUUGUGAACGUUACCUAAACCGUUGCUUCGGCGGGCGGCCCGGGUCCUUCCCGGCGCCCAUCGGCCCUCGCGGGCGCCCGCCGGAGGUAAACCAAACUAUCGCAUUGUAUGGCCUCUCUGAGUCUUCUGUACUGAAUAAGUCAAAACUUUUAACAACGGAUCUCAGAUCGGAAGAGC
rnacentral:misc_RNA from 1 species